GACGAACGCUGGCGGCGUGCUUAACACAUGCAAGUCGAACGGAAAGGCCCUGCUUUUGUGGGCUGCUCGAGUGGCGAACGGGUGAGUAACACGUGAGUAACCUGCCCUUCACUUUGGGAUAACUUCAGGAAACUGGGGCUAAUACCGGAUAGGAGCUCCUGCUGCAUGGUGGGGGUUGGAAAGUUUCGGCGGUUGGGGAUGGACUCGCGGCUUAUCAGCUUGUUGGUUGGGUAGUGGCUUACCAAGGCUUUGACGGGUAGCCGGCCUGAGAGGGUGACCGGCCACAUUGGGACUGAGAUACGGCCCAGACUCCUACGGGAGGCAGCGGUGGGGAGUAUUGCACAAUGGGCGGAAGCCUGAUGCAGCAACGCCGCGUGCGGGAUGACGGCCUUCGGGUUGUAAACCGCUUUCGCCUGUGACGAAGCGUGAGUGACGGUAAUGGGUGAAGAAGCACCGGCUAACUACGUG
rnacentral:rRNA from 1 species